GAAGACGUGGUCAGCCUUCACUUAGCGCACCGCAGGCAGCGGAUGUCUGGCGAACAAUAGGCGGACGCGCGCGAUGUGACCGCGCACCUUUGUAACUUUCGUCUAGUCAGCAACAAAAAACUCAUUCCUUUGGGGACACCAGUGACGAUAGCAAGGCUGAAGGGGAUCCACAAAGGAAAGCCAGAGGCCAGGCCAAACCAUCAUCUCAAAAAUCUGCUCCCGUUAUCCCUCCACCACCUUCCCUCAUGCAGAAAAGCAGAUCAGUUGUCCUUCCUCCACCACCUCUGGAUCCAAGGAUAGAACAGGGAAGACAAGGAGAGGAGCCAAGUCCUUCUGAAAGCCAGGUCCACAUACCUACCUGGCAAGUGGAAAGGCAUGGAGCCGUUACUAAUGCCUGUUCUGGUUCACUCUCUGGCAACCAUAGGUGGUCAAGACACAAAGCGUGUCACUUGGAACAUCCUCGCCAAAAUAUUCAGUGACGAUGUGGGGAGGAAAAUAAGCUGGAAAGGAUUGAAUGGGAAAAAAACAUUUCAGCAAGAUGACUUCGAAGACCUUACUGCUGCAUACUGUGCGAAAGAAUCAUGUCUCCCGUUCUGCUACUGAUGAUGAGAUCCAAAGGCAUGCGAUUUGCUGGUUCAACCUCGCUGCAGAUAGGGGAACCUCAAGGAGGCGGGCCACUGUCAGUAUCCUAUCCCCUGAAGAUCCACCUGUUAUGUCCUUUAAAGUGUUUGGAAACCAGGUCUCUUCAUGUUGUGUUUUGGUCUCACAGUGAAGGACUCUUCCUGCAUCUUUGAAUCUCCUGGAGCUCCAGAGAGUGGACAUCAGUCAAACAUCCCAACAGCAACAUAGCAUAAAAAGUUUGGUGUGAGGACGCUGCAGCAUAUCAGCAUUCCUCUGAACACAGAGAAUCAUCUUCAGCUCCAGACUUUGUCCACUUUGCUUCAGUUCAAUGUUGAUUUCAGUCGAAUAAAUCAGAGUCAGACAUGUGAAAUGAUCUGUGGUGGUUGAAUGGUUCACGUGAAGCUUCCUUAUUAUUUAAUCAUUUGGAGUUUACAUUAAAGUGACUCAGUUCAUGUUUCACAAA